AUCAAGGGUAGAAUAAAAAAGUGGUAAUAUUAACCAGUCCAAGUAGCAAAGAGGGAACUUGCCAACUUUAGUUCUCUCUCUUUCUCCUUCACUCACGGGUACUAACCCAUCUUCCACCUUCAUUACUCUUCAUCGUCUCCCUCAUCCAUCAAUUUUCUUGUUUUUUUUUCCAAAAUAUUUCAAAGAUAAAAGUUCUAUGAAGUCUUCUACACUUGUCUGACCCUUUGCAUGUCCCUUUCUUCCUACCAAGACCCAUUAAUCGUCCCAAAUAUCACUGAAGAAGGAUACAUAGCAUAUUUAAGAGUCAUAAAUUCGAGCUAGUGCUUAAAGAGUAAUAGAGCUAAGGGCUGGGAAAAGCAGGCGAGCUUUAGAACUCAACUCGAAUUAAAGGAAUCUCUUCUUGGAAAACUUAAAUAAGAGAGACUGAGGUUAAGAGUUCGGGCAGCAGAGGAUAGUGAUAUGUAGUGAUGUUGUUUAAGUUUGUAAUAUGAUUUUUAUUGUAUACUUUAGAGGAUGUUUGUAUAUUAUGUAUUAUAUAUAUAAUUACAAUAACAUUUUAAAUUUGUACUCAUGGUAUUUUAUAUGAACGCUUUUAGAAUAUUAAAAUGUAUUAAUUUAUUAGCA